UACAGAGGGUGCGAGCGUUAAUCGGAAUUACUGGGCGUAAAGCGUGCGUAGACGGUUAUGUAAGUCAGAUGUGAAAGCCCCGGGCUCAACCUGGGAAUGGCAUUUGAGACUGCAUAGCUAGGAUGCGGAAGAGGGAAGUGGAAUUUCCGGUGUAGCGGUGAAAUGCGUAGAUAUCGGAAGGAACAUCAGUGGCGAAGGCAGCUCGCUGGGACGUGACUGACGCUGAGACGCGAAAGCGUGGGGAGCAAACAGG
rnacentral:rRNA from 1 species